rnacentral:rRNA from 1 species
CGGCUCAGUAACACGUGGACAACCUACCCUAUGGAGGGGGAUAACCCCGGGAAACUGGGGAUAAUACCCCAUAGACUAUAGAUGCUGGAAUGCUUUGUAGUUGAAAGGUCCGCCGCCAUAGGAUGGGUCUGCGGCCGAUUAGGUUGUUGUUGGGGUAACGGCCCAACAAGCCUGUAAUCGGUACGGGUUGUGGGAGCAAGAGCCCGGAGAUGGAUUCUGAGACACGAAUCCAGGCCCUACGGGGCGCAGCAGGCGCGAAAACUUUACAAUGCGGGAAACCGUGAUAAGGGAACUCCGAGUGCCCGUAAAAUCGGGCUGUCCAUCUGUUUAAAUAACAGGUGAAGAAAGGGCCGGGCAAGACCGGUGCUAGCCGCCGCGGUAAUACCGGCGGCUCGAGUGGUGGCCACUAUUACUGGGCUUAAAGCGUUCGUAGCUGGUCUGUUAAGUCUCUGGGGAAAUCUACUGGCUUAACCAAUAGGCGUCUCAGGGAUACUGGCAGACUAGGGACCGGGAGAGGUGAGAGGUACUCCAGGGGUAGGAGUGAAAUCCUGUAAUCCUUGGGGGACCACCUGUGGCGAAGGCGUCUCACCAGAACGGCUCCGACAGUGAGGGACGAAAGCUGGGGGAGCAAACCGGA